CUUAACUCCAUUCACCUUCCGGUGACCUGCCAGGCAUCCCCCAUACUCCUCCGGUGUCUCAGCAGUCUUUGGAAAACAAGGGGCAAAAUCGUGUGAAUCCCUUUCUGCUAAUUGUCUGAAAAACUACGGUGCUCAAAGGACCAAAAUGUUCCCAGCACCCCUGCUGCGUGCUUUCUCCCGGUGGAAAUCAUUGGCUUUAUUGAAUGAUACAGCUCUCGCCUUCACCCUGUGGAAGGACAAGGCUUAUGAAGGACUGUUGUAGCUCUUGUAUAUACCAUCCACUAUUUGGCCUCUCAUCUUAACAACCAACAGGUCCUGGUUUACACUCAGAACAUCUCUGACAUCACCUUCUUCAGAUCUUGACUCAGGUCUGAGCAGCUGCAGGCCCAGGUGGGACCAAAGAAAACUCCAGCUAUAAAACACCAGAGCUCCAGGAGUCCAAUCAAAGAGAGAGAAGAGGGAUUCUAUGAGCAAGUAUAUCAGGGUCAUGAUGGGGAAACCUGCAGAGAUGACCAAACCAAACUAGUGGGAACUCAUAAAAGUUGGAUCAAUGGCUGUGGAGCCUGCAUGGGACUGGACUAGGCCCUCUGUAUGACAAGACAAUUGUGUAGCUUGAUCUGCUUGGGGGCCCCCUGGUGGUAGGAUCAGAAUCCAUCCCUGGUGCAUGAGCAGGCUUUUUGGAGCCCACUACCUGUGAUGGGAUACCUCUUGCAGCCUUGAGGCAG